rnacentral:rRNA from 1 species
GAGUUUGAUCCUGGCUCAGAACGAACGCUGGCGGCGUGCCUAACACAUGCAAGUCGAACGUGAUCCAGAGCUUGCUCUGGUGAAAGUGGCGCACGGGUGAGUAACGCGUGGAUAACCUACCCUGGUAUCCGGGAUAACAUUCCGAAAGGGGUGCUAAUACCGGAUAAGCCCACGGGCUCUUUGGAGCUUGCGGGAAAAGGUGGCCUCUAUUUAUAAGCUACUGUAUCAGGAUGGGUCCGCGUACCAUUAGCUAGUUGGCGGUGUAACGGACCACCAAGGCGACGAUGGUUAGCUGGUCUGAGAGGAUGAUCAGCCACACUGGAACUGAGACACGGUCCAGACUCCUACGGGAGGCAGCAGUGGGGAAUUUUGCGCAAUGGGGGAAACCCUGACGCAGCAACGCCGCGUGAGUGAUGAAGGCCUUUGGGUCGUAAAGCUCUGUCAGAGGGGAAGAAAUGAUAUCGUGCUAAUACCACUUUAUCUUGACGGUACCCUCAAAGGAAGCACCGGCUAACUCCGUGCCAGCAGCCGCGGUAAUAC